rnacentral:pre_miRNA from 1 species
CUUGUACUCCCUCCGUCCGAAAAUACUUGUCAUUAAAAUGGAUGUAUCUAGAUGUAUUUUAGUUCUAGACACAUCCAUUUUGAUGACAAGUAAUUCCGGACGGAGGGAGUACUUG